rnacentral:rRNA from 1 species
CGCGGCGAAUACGUUCCCGGACCUUGUACACACCGCCCGUCAAGCCAUGGAAGCUGGGUGUACCUAAAGUCGGUAACCGCAAGGAGCCGCCUAGGGUAAAACUAGUAACUGGGGCU